rnacentral:rRNA from 1 species
UACGUAGGGGGCAAGCGUUGUCCGGAAUCAUUGGGCGUAAAGCGCGUGUAGGCGGCUUGGUAAGUCUGCUCUGAAAGCCCGGGGCUCAACCCCGGGAGGCGGGUGGAUACUGUCAAGCUCGAGUCCGGAAGAGGAGUGUGGAAUUCCUGGUGUAGCGGUGAAAUGCGCAGAUAUCAGGAGGAACACCAAUGGCGAAGGCGCACUCUGGGACGUGACUGA